CGAAAGAAGACGCUGAUGCCAGAUCUGUGAACAAGAAAAGUCUAGAGAUUCAUCGAGAGAAUUUUCAUUAAGGAGAUGGCCAUCAGAUAAGAUGACCUGGCUUUUCCUCCUGCCACCUCAAAUGUGUCAUGGACAGUCUCAUAAGAAGUAAGAACAAAAGAGCUAGGAUGAAAGAGCCUGCGUUGAAAAGAACAGCAACUGUAAAUGGAAGGCAAGAUCAAGAAGCCUACUUUUUCAAACUCAGGGAAUUCUUUGAGACAGUGAGACAGAGAAAGCAGUGAGUGGAGUUCAGAGAGCACUGCACUUCAAGCAAAACCUCCACUUAUGUACAUAUGCUGUCUGCGAUGUUAAGUUUUAGUGGAAAUGUUCUGCAACUAGUAGGAAAAAAAGGAGAGGAUCCAAGGAUCUUGAAAAAUCACAGAAGGCUCAUAGAUGAACAAAAAAUUAGAAAGAAGGAAAAAAGAGGGGAAAAUGAGCAUCGAGUGGCAAACUACAGAGGAUUACCAGCUAAUCUUGCACAAAGCUCCUUUUCCUUUCUCGUCUCCAUUUUCUGUGCUUUAACCCUAAGUCACCUGGCAAGUUCCAGUUCUCUGUCAAGCCCUGAGUAUUUGCUUACAAAAUCAUUUUAAUUACAAAAUUUUACUGAAAACAAACAGAACAACAACAAAAAAAAAAAACAAUUCCUGUUCAUUAGAACUCCCUUUCUAGUAAAGGGGACAAAUACGGACACCAGAUACUUGAAGAUAUGAUAAGUCAAGUGUUGUCUUGGUUGA